rnacentral:tRNA from 1 species
AUCUGGCUGGCUCACUUGGUAGAGCAUGUGACUCUUGAUCUCAGGGUGAUGAGUUCAAGCCCCGUGCUGGGUA